ACAAUGGGCGCAAGCCUGAUGCAGCGACGCCGCGUGAGGGAUGGAGGCCUUCGGGUUGUGAACCUCUGUCGCCGGUGAUGUAGGCUCUGCUUUGUGGGUGGGGUUGACGGUAGCCGGGGUAUGAAGUGCCGGCUAACUACGUGCCAGCAGCCGCGGUAAUACGUAGGGCGCGAGCGUUGUCCGGAAUUAUUGGGCGUAAAGAGCUCGUAGGCGGCUGGUCGCGUCUGUCGUGAAAUCCUCUGGCUUAACUGGGGGCGUGCGGUGGGUACGGGCCGGCUUGAGUGCGGUAGGGGAGGCUGGAAUUCCUGGUGUAGCGGUGGAAUGCCCAAUAUCAGGAGGAACACCGGUGGCGAAGCGGGUCUCUGGGCCGUGUACUGACGCUGAGGAGCGAAAGCGUGGGGAGCGACAGGAUUAGAUACCCCUGGUA
rnacentral:rRNA from 1 species